GGGGGAUAUUGCGCAAUGGGGGCAACCCUGACGCAGCAACGCCGCGUGAAGGAUGAAGGUUUUCGGAUUGUAAACUUCUUUUAUUAAGGACGAAACUUGACGGUACUUAAUGAAUAAGCUCCGGCUAACUACGUGCCAGCAGCCGCGGUAAUACGUAGGGAGCAAGCGUUGUCCGGAUUUACUGGGUGUAAAGGGUGCGUAGGCGGCUUUGCAAGUCAGAUGUGAAAUCUAUGGGCUCAACCCAUAAACUGCAUUUGAAACUGUAGAGCUUGAGUGAAGUAGAGGCAGGCGGAAUUCCCCGUGUAGCGGUGAAAUGCGUAGAGAUGGGGAGGAACACCAGUGGCGAAGGCGGCCUGCUGGGCUUUAACUGACGCUGAGGCACGAAAGCGUGGGUAGCAAACAGGAUUAGAUACCCUGGUAGUCCACGCUGUAAACGAUGAUUACUAGGUGUGGGGGGUCUGACCCCUUCCGUGCCGGAGUUAACACAAUAAGUAAUCCACCUGGGGAGUACGGCCGCAAGGUUGAAACUCAAAGGAAUUGACGGGGGCCCGCACAAGCAGUGGAGUAUGUGGUUUAAUUCGAAGCAACGCGAAGAACCUUACCGGGUCUUGACAUCCAACUAACGAAGUAGAGAUACAUUAGGUGCCCUUCGGGGAAAGUUGAGACAGGUGGUGCAUGGUUGUCGUCAGCUCGUGUCGUGAGAUGUUGGGUUAAGUCCCGCAACGAGCGCAACCCUUGCUAUUAGUUGCUACGCAAGAGCACUCUAAUAGGACUGCCGUUGACAAAACGGAGGAAGGUGGGGACGACGUCAAAUCAUCAUGCCCCUUAUGACCUGGGCUACACACGUACUACAAUGGAUGUUAACAGAGGGAAGCAAGACAGCGAUGUGGAGCAAACCCCUAAAAACAUUCUCAGUUCAGAUUGCAGGCUGCAACCCGCCUGCAUGAAGAUGGAAUUGCUAGUAAUCGCGGAUCAGCAUGCCGCGGUGAAUACGUUCCCG
rnacentral:rRNA from 2 species